rnacentral:rRNA from 1 species
AUUGAACGCUGGCGGCAUGCCUUACACAUGCAAGUCGAACGGCAGCAUGAUCUAGCUUGCUCGAUUGAUGGCGAGUGGCGAACGGGUGAGUAAUACAUCGGAACGUGCCCUGUAGUGGGGGAUAACUAGUCGAAAGAUUAGCUAAUACCGCAUACGACCUGAGGGUGAAAGUGGGGGACCGCAAGGCCUCAUGCUAUAGGAGCGGCCGAUGUCUGAUUAGCUAGUUGGUGAGGUAAAGGCUCACCAAGGCGACGAUCAGUAGCUGGUCUGAGAGGACGAUAGGCCACACGGGGAGUGGAACCGGGCCAGGCCUCUUCGGGGGGGCGGAAGGGGGGAAUUGGGGACAAGGGGGGAAAGCUGUACCCAGAAAGGCCGGGUGUGAGAAGAGGGCGUUGGGUUUGAAAAGCUCUUUUGUCGGAAAAGAAAGGGCUGGGUUAAAUCCCGGGGGUCGAUGACGGUACGGGAAAAAAAAGGCCCGGCUAACUACGUG